GACGAACGCUGGCGGCGUGCCUAAUACAUGCAAGUAGAACGCACAGUUUAUACCGUAGCUUGCUACACCAUAGACUGUGAGUUGCGAACGGGUGAGUAACGCGUAGGUAACCUGCCUGGUAGCGGGGGAUAACUAUUGGAAACGAUAGCUAAUACCGCAUAAUAUUGAUUAUUGCAUGAUAAUUGAUUGAAAGAUGCUAUUGCAUCACUACCAGAUGGACCUGCGUUGUAUUAGCUAGUAGGUGAGGUAACGGCUCACCUAGGCGACGAUACAUAGCCGACCUGAGAGGGUGAGCGGCCACACUGGGACUGAGACACGGCCCAGACUCCUACGGGAGGCAGCAGUAGGGAAUCUUCGGCAAUGGACGAAAGUCUGACCGAGCAACGCCGCGUGAGUGAAGAAGGGUUUCGGAUCGUAAAGCUCUGUUGUAAGAGAAGAACGGGUGUGAGAGUGGAAAGUUCACACUGUGACGGUAGCUUACCAGAAAGGGACGGCUAACUACGUG
rnacentral:rRNA from 1 species